rnacentral:lncRNA from 1 species
GGGGGAGCUCACAGGGCAACAUGCACAUUUAUUAAUUUAGCCAAUGCUUUCGUUCAAAGAAUAUUACAAUGAUUUACCCAUUUGCAGAACCUGGUACUUCGAACUGGAGCAGUUCAGACCUCCAGCAGUCCACGGUGUGGUACAGAUGAUGUAUGCUCGGAGAUCAUGUUUGCCAAACCGAGCGCUUUUCAAGUUGCCUGGGUGGAGACAGACAGACAAAAGUCUAUCCAGGGGCUCCAAAUCUCAGGAGGCAAAGAUAGGGCGAAACCAACACGGUGUUUACGAGCUUCAAAAGAAGGUACGAUUCUCACUUUGUUUGCUCCCACACAUCCAUCACGAGAGGCUGACUGCGGUGUGGACGUCAUCUUCUCCCUGCCAACCUGAAGGAUGAGAAGGUGGACAGGGACACACAGGCACACAGACACAACCCCACAGGCAACAGUGUUUGUUGUCACUGAUCUUCUCCAGCAUCGGCGGCAUCGCUACCAAGGCCAAGUUGCAUAAACAAUGCGUAAAAGUGUAAAACUGAAAUGCUAUGCAAAAAGACUCUGCUACCAAGCAAAUACAUUAAUGAACACGCAGCUCAGAAAAGCAUCAGCAUUGUACAGGUGGUCCUCAGGUUGCGACAGGGUUCCCUC